GCUAUAUUCCUUGUAUUAUUAUACUAACUCAUUAGUUCUAGGGAGCGAUAUUAACUAUGAUGUUAGCCAAUAUGGUGACAUUGAUAAUGAUGUUGACUGUGUGCAGCGGUUAUGGUUAUUUGAAACUCUUGUUUGCAUGUGUUUGGACAUUAUGAUCACACCCUAGAACAGCUAGAUGCAGGCAAGAGUCUGGAAUAAUGAUCACACCCCUAGAACAGCUAGAUGCAGGCAAGAGUCUGGACUAAUGAUCAAACCCCUAGAACAGCUAGAUGCAGGCAAGAGUCUGGACUAAUGAUCACACCCUAGAACAGCUAGAUGCAGGCAAGAGUCUGGACUAAUGAUCACACCCUAGAACAGCUAGAUGCAGGCAAGAGUCUGGACUAAUGAUCACACCCCCAGAACAGCUAGAUGCAGGCAAGAGUUGACUAAUGAUCACACCCCCAGAACAGCUAGAUGCAGACAAGAGUUGACUAAUGAUCACACCCUAGAACAGCUAGAUGCAGACAAGACUUUUCAAGGCGAUAUUGUACGUGUCACUAUCUCCUUCAUUUGUCCAAUGUGUCUCUCGACCAGUGUGCU
ensembl:lncRNA